rnacentral:SRP_RNA from 1 species
GCUGGUCCUAGUGAUGGAUGCUUCUUGUCCCAGCUACUCAGGAGACUGAGGCAGGAGAAUUGCUUAAGCCCAGGAUUUCUGGGGUUUAGUGUGCUCUGCCAGUCAGUCGGAUGUCUGCACUAAGUUUGGCAUCAAUUUGGUAAUCUCCCUGGAAUGGGGGACCACCAGGUUGCCCAUUGGAAAAGGUGCAGUCAGAAUGAAUGCUGAUCAGCAGUGGUGUUACACCUGUGAUUAGUCACUGCAUUCCAGCAUUAACAGUAUAGGGAGAACUUGUCUCU